rnacentral:rRNA from 1 species
CUACGGGUUGCACCAGCAGGGAAUAUUGCACAAUGGACGGAAGUCUGAUGCAGCGACGCCGCGUGGAUGAUGAAGGCCCUCGGGUUGUAAAAUCCUUUUCAGGGGGACGAGGAAGGACGGUACCCUUGGAAUAAGCGUCGGCUAACUACGUGCCAGCAGCCGCGGUAAGACGUAGGACGCAAGCGUUAUCCGGAUUUACUGGGCGUAAAGCGUCUGUAGGCGGAAUGGUAAGUUGGACGUGAAAGCUCCGGGCUCAACCCGGAGAGGUCGUUCAAUACUGCCAAGCUAGAGGGCAGCAGAGGAGCGUGGAAUUUCCGGUGUAGCGGUAAAAUGCGCAGAUAUCGGAAGGAACACCAGUGGCGAAGGCAGCGCUCUGGGAUGAACCUGACGCUAAGAGACGAAAGCUAGGGGAGCGAACAGGAUUAGAUACCCCGGUAGUC